GACGAACGCUGGCGGCGUGCCUAAUACAUGCAAGUCGAGCGAAGCGGCGGAUGGGUGAGUAACGCGUGGGUAACCUGCCCUUAAGUCUGGGAUACCAUUUGGAAACAGAUGCUAAUACCGGAUACUAAAGGAUGGACCUGCGGUGCAUUAGCUAGUUGGGAAGGUAACGGCUUACCACGGCGAUGAUGCGUGGCGGAGGGGAGAGGCUGGGAGGCGACAUGGGGACGGAUACACGGCCCGAACGCCUACGGGAGGGGGGAGGAGGGAAUCGUCCACAAGGGACGAAAGGCUGAUGGGGCAACGCCGCGUGAGUGAAGAAGGUUUGGGGAUCGUAGAGCUCUGUUGUUGGUGAAGCGGUAAUCAACCAGAAAGUCACGGCUAACUACGUGCCAGCAGCCGCGGUAAUAC
rnacentral:rRNA from 1 species